CCGCACAAGCGGUGGAGCAUGUGGUUUAAUUCGACGCAACGCGAAGAACCUUACCAGGGCUUGACACUCCCUGACCGCGUAUGAAAGUGCGUUUUCACCCUCGGGUGACAGGGAGACAGGUGGUGCAUGGUUGUCGUCAGCUCGUGUCGUGAGAUGUUGGGUUAAGUCCCGCAACGAGCGCAACCCCUACGUUUAGUUGCUAACGCGUGAAGGCGAGCACUCUAGACGAACUGCCGUUGACAAAACGGAGGAAGUGGGAUGACGUCAAGUCAUCAUGCCCCUUAUGUUCUGGGCUACACACGUGCUACAAUGGCCGGUACAGACGGACGCAAAGCCGCGAGGUGGAGCAAAUCCUAAAAAGCCGGUCUCAGUUCGGAUUGCAGGCUGCAAUUCGCCUGCAUGAAGUCGGAAUCGCUAGUAAUCGCAGGUCAGCAUACUGCGGUGAAUACGUUCCCGGGCCUU
rnacentral:rRNA from 1 species